rnacentral:rRNA from 1 species
GAAUUCGCCCUUCCCAGUAGUCAUAUGCUUGUCUCCAAAGAUUAAAGCCAUGCAUGUCUAAGUAUAAGCACUUUAUACUGUGAAACUGCGAAUGGGCUCAUUAAAUCAGUUAUCGUUUAUUUGAUAGUACCUUACUACAUGGAUACCUGUGGUAAUUCUAGAGCUAAUACAUGCUGAAAACCUCGACUUCGGAAGGGGUGUAUUUAUUAGAUAAAAAACCAAUGCCCUUCGGGGCUCCUUGGUGAAUCAUAAUAACUUAACGAAUCGCAUGGCCUUGCGCCGGCGAUGGUUCAUUCAAAUUUCUGCCCUAUCAACUUUCGAUGGUAGGAUAGUGGCCUACCAUGGUGGCAACGGGUAACGGGGAAUUAGGGUUCGAUUCCGGAGAGGGAGCCUGAGAAACGGCUACCACAUCCAAGGAAGGCAGCAGGCGCGCAAAUUACCCAAUCCCGACACGGGGAGGUAGUGACAAUAAAUACUGAUACGGGGCUCUUUUGGGUCUCGUAAUUGGAAUGACUACAAUCUAAAUCCCUUAACGAGGAACAAUUGGAGGGCAAGUCUGGU